AUUCCUACGGGAGGCAGCAGUGGGGAAUAUUGCACAAUGGGCGAAAGCCUGAUGCAGCAACGCCGCGUGAGCGAUGAAGGCCUUCGGGUCGUAAAGCUCUGUCCUCAAGGAAGAUAAUGACGGUACUUGAGGAGGAAGCCCCGGCUAACUACGUGCCAGCAGCCGCGGUAAUACGUAGGGGGCUAGCGUUAUCCGGAAUUACUGGGCGUAAAGGGUGCGUAGGUGGUUUUUUAAGUCAGAAGUGAAAGGCUACGGCUCAACCGUAGUAAGCUUUUGAAACUGAGAAACUUGAGUGCAGGAGAGGAGAGUAGAAUUCCUAGUGUAGCGGUGAAAUGCGUAGAUAUUAGGAGGAAUACCAGUUGCGAAGGCGGCUCUCUGGACUGUAACUGACACUGAGGCACGAAAGCGUGGGGAGCAAACAGGAUUAGAUACCCUGGUAGUCCACGCCGUAAACGAUGAGUACUAGGUGUCGGGGGUUACCCCCCUCGGUGCCGCAGCUAACGCAUUAAGUACUCCGCCUGGGAAGUACGCUCGCAAGAGUGAAACUCAAAGGAAUUGACGGAAU
rnacentral:rRNA from 1 species